rnacentral:rRNA from 1 species
AUUGAACGCUGGCGGCGUGCCUAAUACAUGCAAGUCGAACGAGUGGCGGACGGGUGAGUAACACGUGGGAACCUACCCAUCAGAGGGGGAUAACACUUGGAAACAGGUGCUAAUACCGCAUACGGUUGGUGGGACCGGCGGGGCUUUAGCUAGUUGGGGGGGUAACGGCUCACCAAGGCGACGAUCCCUAGCUGGUCUGAGAGGAUGACCAGCCACACUGGAACUGAGACACGGUCCAGACUCCUACGGGAGGCAGCAGUGGGGAAUAUUGCACAAUGGGCGCAAGCCUGAUGCAGCCAUGCCGCGUGUAUGAAGAAGGCCUUCGGGUUGUAAAGUACUUUCAGCGGGGAGGCGUUACCCGCAGAAGAAGCACCGGCUAACUCCGUGCCAGCAGCCGCGGUAAUUC